rnacentral:rRNA from 1 species
GCUAAAUACUCCCUAGUGACCGAUAGUGAACCAGUACCGUGAGGGAAAGGUGAAAAGCACCCCGGAAGGGGAGUGAAACAGUUCCUGAAACCGUGUGCCUACAAGUAGUUAGAGCCCGUUAAUGGGUGAUAGCGUGCCUUUUGUAGAAUGAACCGGCGAGUUACGAUUUGUUGCAAGGUUAAGCGGAAAAAGCGGAGCCGUAGCGAAAGCGAGUCUGAAUAGGGCGCAUAAGUAACAGGUCGUAGACCCGAAACCAGGUGAUCUACCCAUGUCCAGGAUGAAGGUAAGGUAAUACUUACUGGAGGUCCGAACCCACGCACGUUGAAAAGUGCGGGGAUGAGGUGUGGGUAGCGGAGAAAUUCCAAUCGAACUUGGAGAUAGCUGGUUCUCUCCGAAAUAGCUUUAGGGCUAGCCUCGAGGUAAAGAGUCAUGGAGGUAGAGCACUGUUUGGACUAGGGGCCCUUCUCGGGUUACCGAAUUCAGAUAAACUCCGAAUGCCAUGUACUUAUACUCGGGAGUCAGACUGCGAGUGAUAAGAUCCGUAGUCGAAAGGGAAACAGCCCAGACCACCAGUUAAGGUCCCCAAAUAUAUGUUAAGUGGAAAAGGAUGUGGGGUUGCUUAGACAACCAGGAUGUUGGCUUAGAAGCAGCCACCAUUGAAAGAGUGCGUAAUAGCUCACUGGUCGAGUGACCCCGCGCCGAAAAUGUACCGGGGCUAAACAUAUUACCGAAACUGUGGAUGAACCUCUUUAGAGGUUCGUGGUAGGAGAGCGUUCUAAGGGCGGUGAAGUCAGACCGGAAGGACUGGUGGAGCGCUUAGAAGUGAGAAUGCCGGUAUGAGUAGCGAAAGAAGGGUGAGAAUCCCUUCCACCGAAUAUCUAAGGUUUCCUGAGGAAGGCUCGUCCGCUC